rnacentral:rRNA from 1 species
AUGGUUUGUCUUUUUAUUCUAUGUAUUUAUCGCAGGUAUAAGGACAAAGAAGAAUGCGGUGAAAAUUGUACUGUCAGUUCUAGGAAGUGGUGUUUUGGUACUUAUAAGCAUUUGGUUGGCAUGGAUAAAACUGAAAGAUUCGAUGAAAUCUCCCAAGCAACGAACAAUUUCUCUGAAACAUGUACGAUUGGACAAGGGGGCUUUGGUAAAGUUUACAAGGGGAUGUUGGGUGGUCAAGAAGUUGCUGUCAAGAGGCUAAGUAAGGAUUCUCAACAAGGAACAAAGGAAUUCAAGAAUGAAGUCAUUCUAAUUGCCAAAUUGCAGCACAGAAACUUGGUUCUUCUUGGAUGUUUUGGGGAGGGAGAUGAGAAGUUGUUGAUCUAUGAGUAUCUACCAAACAAGAGCUUAGAUACUACUCUCUUUGACGAUUCAAGAAAGUUGAUGCUAGAUUGGGCAACAAGGUUUAAUAUAAUCAAAGGGGUUGCUAGGGGACUUCUCUACCUCCACUGA